AUUGAACGCUGGCGGCAUGCCUUACACAUGCAAGUCGAACGGUAACGGGCCUUCGGGUGCCGACGAGUGGCGAACGGGUGGGUAAUGCAUCGGAACGUACCUUUCGGUGGGGGAUAACGUAGCGAAAGUUACGCUAAUACCGCAUAUUCUGCGAGCAGGAAAGCAGGGGAUCGCAAGACCUUGCGCUGAUUGAGCGGCCGAUGUCAGAUUAGCUAGUUGGUGAGGUAAAGGCUCACCAAGGCGACGAUCUGUAGCGGGUCUGAGAGGAUGAUCCGCCACACUGGAACUGAGACACGGUCCAGACUCCUACGGGAGGCAGCAGUGGGGAAUUUUGGACAAUGGGGGCAACCCUGAUCCAGCCAUGCCGCGUGAGUGGAGAAGGCCUUCGGGUUGUAAAGCUCUUUCGGCCGGGAAGAAAUCGUAUGGGCUAAUACCCUGUGCGGAUGACGGUACCGGCAUAAGAAGCACCGGCUAACUACGUGCCAGCAGCCGCGGUAACAC
rnacentral:rRNA from 1 species